rnacentral:rRNA from 1 species
CAAACGAGCGAGUGAAGCGGCAAAAGCUCAAAUUUGAAAUCUGGUACCUUCGGUGCCCGAGUUGUAAUUUGGAGAUCCUUUGGGGCCGUUCCUUGUCUAUGUUCCUUGGAACAGGACGUCAUAGAGGGUGAGAAUCAAUACAUACCGUGUGGCGAGGAGUGCGGUUCUUUGUAAAGUGCCUUCGAAGAGUCGAGUUGUUUGGGAAUGCAGCUCUAAGUGGGUGGUAAAUUCCAUCUAAAGCUAAAUAUUGGCGAGAGACCGAUAGCGAACAAGUACAGUGAUGGAAAGAUGAAAAGAACUUUGAAAAGAGAGUGAAAAAGUACGUGAAAUUGUUGAAAGGGAAGGGCAUUUGAUCAGACAUGGUGUUUUGUGCCCUCUGCUCCUUGUGGGUAGGGGAAUCUCGCAUUUCACUGGGCCAGCAUCAGUUUUGGUGGCAGGAUAAAUCCAUAGGAAUGUAGCUUGCCUCGGUAAGUAUUAUAGCCUGUGGGAAUACUGCCAGCUGGGACUGAGGACUGCGACGUAAGUCAAGGAUGCUGGCAUAAUGGUUAUAUGCCGCCCGUCUUGAACCACGGACCAAU